rnacentral:snoRNA from 1 species
GCGCGUUGAUGAAGAAACAUAUCCCUUAAACAUUCGCAGUGUUUUGCUGAUAGCGGUCGGGUUGCCACCUGACUUGCUGCUUGAGGCUCCAAUUUUCCUUGGAUGUCUGAGCGC